rnacentral:tRNA from 1 species
GCCAGUGUGGCAUAGUGGUUUGAGUGUUGGACAGUGACUCUGGAGAUCAGGGUUCAAAUCCCAGCUUGGCC